CCUGGUUCACAGGUCUUGGGACCAGGACCCGGAGCCCCCGGAGCCCCCGGAGCCCCCGGAGCCAGAGCCCGAGGAGUCCGGGGCAGGAGCAGAAGCCGGUGCGGCUCCAGAGACCAACCCAACAGCAUCGGGGUCCUCGGCGUCUCUGCAGGCAGGGGUGGAGUCUGGGGCGACUCCUGCUGGGGCCGGAGAGCCAGCAGGUGACCUGGGACCUGUGCUGGGACAGCGGGCACCUGAGCAGAGUCAGCUGGGUCCUGCUUCUGCUCCCGACACCGUUCCUGCCACCGCCCUUGCUCCCGCAGGGAUGCCGGCCACAAAUCAAGGGCCCGAAGGCCUUCGAGGGGUGUUUAUUGUAUUUCUAAUUCUUGCUCCAAUCCCAGUCUCCGCCCCCCCACCAGAAUGAGUCUUCCUCUUCUCCCUUAUCCUUUCUCUCCUCUACUUUGUAGCUGUUACUUUAUUUGCUCAUGGUUUGUUUAAAAUCCACAUUAAUCUUCAAUAAAAAUUUUAUUUUUUU